rnacentral:rRNA from 1 species
ACUGAACGCUGGCGGCAUGCCUAACACAUGCAAGUCGAGCGAGCGGCGGACGGGUGAGUAAUGUAUUGUGAUCUGCCUGAUGGCGGGGGAUAACUACUGUACACGGUCGCUAAUACCGCAGACCAUCAGAUGAACCCAUACGGGAUUGGCUUGUAGGUGAGGUAACGGCUCACCUAGGAGACGAUCACUAGCGGGUCUGAGAGUAUGAUCAGCCACACUGGGACUGAGACACGGCCCAGACUCCUACGGGAGGCAGCAGGGGUGAAUAUGGCACAAUGGGCGCAAGCCUGAUGCAGCCAUGCCGCGUGUAUGAAGAAGGCCUUCGGGUUGUAAAGUACUUUCAGGCGGGAGGCGUUACCGACAGAAGAAGCACCGGCUAACUCCGUGCCAGCAGCCGCGGUAAUAC